CGCACGGGUGAGUAACACGUAUCCAACCUGCCGUCUACUCUUGGACAGCCUUCUGAAAGGAAGAUUAAUACAAGAUGGCAUCAUGAGUCCACAUGUUCACAUGAUUAAAGGUAUUCCGGUAGACGAUGGGGAUGCGUUCCAUUAGAUAGUAGGCGGGGUAACGGCCCACCUAGUCUUCGAUGGAUAGGGGUUCCGAGAGGAAGGUCCCCCACAUUGGAACUGAGACACGGUCCAA
rnacentral:rRNA from 1 species